UACGUAGGGUGCGAGCGUUAAUCGGAAUUACUGGGCGUAAAGCGUGCGCAGGCGGUUUUGUAAGUCAGAUGUGAAAUCCCCGAGCUCAACUUGGGAACUGCGUUUGAAACUACAAGACUAGAAUAUGUCAGAGGGGGGUAGAAUUCCACGUGUAGCAGUGAAAUGCGUAGAGGUGUGGAGGAAUACCAAUGGCGAAGGCGGCCUGCUGGGCAGUAGCUGACGCUGAGGCGCGACAGCGUGGGGAGCAAACAGG
rnacentral:rRNA from 1 species